UACGGAGGGUGCGAGCGUUGUCCGGAAUCACUGGGCGUAAAGCGUGCGCAGGCGGUUUGUUAAGUCCGCUGUGAAAUCCCCGAGCUCAACUUGGGAAUUGCAGUGGAUACUGGCAGGCUGGAGUACGGUAGAGGAAGGUGGAAUUCCCGGUGUAGCAGUGAAAUGCGUAGAGAUCGGGAGGAACACCAGUGGCGAAGGCGGCCUUCUGGACCAGUACUGACGCUCAUGCACGAAAGCGUGGGGAGCAAACAGG
rnacentral:rRNA from 1 species